rnacentral:lncRNA from 1 species
CAUUACUUUUUAUUUAUCUAGGAAUGUGGCUUUUCCAGGUCCAAACAACUGAACAAAGAACUAACUACAUGUUAAAAACCCAUGAAUAGUAUUUUAUAGUGAAAUGUAAACCAAUUUUUAAAACAAUUAUUCUUCUUUUAGAAUGUAUACAUAAUUUUAUAUUUACCAUUGCAUACCUAACAUUUGAUUUCUGAAAUUAUUUGUACUACUAGAAGCACAAUUUCUUAAUAUUAUACAUAUAUUGUUACAUUUAAUGUAAAUGUUAUUUUGAUAUAAAACAUGCUGGUGUGUUUAAAAUAAUAGUGAAAGUAUAUUAUCACAUUUUAUUCACAUAGACCCAAGUUUUUGUUAAUGGCUUUAUUUUUAUUUUAAAAAUGUGUGACUAUAUAGUGGAAGGAAAUAAAACAACCAUAAUGGAGAAGAUGGAAAAAAAAAAUCUCUCUUCCCCACAAGGUGGUACUGUGGUUCUUUUACUCUUUCAAAAAUCUAAGCAUAGAAUUGAUAUUUCUCCACUUGUCUUUCUUCCCCCAACAUUUUACAGGUGAUCUUCAAUUAGAUUCUAAUAAAAAUGAGAAAUAAUUUCAAAGGAAACUUGAUACUUUUAGGUUUGAAGUAACUGACAAGUAAUUAAAAAUUCUCUAUUUAG